rnacentral:misc_RNA from 1 species
AGAAGAAAGAGGAGGUACAGUUCGUCUUCUGAUUCUUCUGAUUCAGACUCAGGGUCUGAAUCAGAGGCUGAUUCCGACAAUGAACGUAGUAGGAGGAAAAGCCGAAGGCACAGCAGAAAACGCUAGUUAAGGUAAUCGCAGGAGUGAAACAAAUUAGAAUGGUUGAUAUAUCAUUGCAAUUGUAGUCAGUUUAGAGAUUCGAGUUCAUUCAGUUUCUUG